CUUUGCCCUCCCUUCCUUGUUUCCUAGUGCAGAUUAACUAAGAGACAAAAGGUUACUUCUGACAGCUUUCUGGGCUGCUGCUGUGACCAAAAAAAGUCUCGGUGACGGUGUUUUGUUCCUCCAGAAUAAAUGAUGUGCUGUUUUCUCUUCUUGUAACGACACAACAAAGCACUGCCAGGAGCCUGGUGUGUCUGAGGAUCCCUGCGAUAAUGAACAGGAAAAUGAAGCCUAGUUCUUGUGAACAAUCUUGUGUGUUAAACAACCAGAACAGCAAGAUGUUGAGACCGUUAGGAUGAAUGUACGUUGCUCAUCGGGAUGGAGGUCUGGUCCGUCUGGCUGUGUUUGAUGAUGGGAGCCCUGAGAACAACAGAAGUGGAGGUUCCUGAUCCUUGCUUGAAGGAGAGAAGAGGGCAGAUACACUGGCAAAGGAAACUGGAGCUGGAAACUGGAAAGCUUUCCACUGGCAAAGGAAAGGUUUGUCAAGGACAGAUGAUACUCCCCCUGUUAGUGCUCAUGUUUUUGGGGGUCAGUGCAUGAGGGGAUGCUGAGUGUCCCCUGAAUGUGGCACUGUCAUGGGAAUUCUGUCUCGUUAGCAGGAGUCACAAUAUACUGCAGCAGCUGCUCAGCUACAGACAUCCAUGUGAGUUGAGCAUUAAGCCCAGCGCAUACGUGAGAGUGUACAAUAAAUGUGAAGGCAACCAAAACCAGGACAAACACCCCUGGACAUCCCUCAUCCAAGCUGUCCAAUUCUACCCCAAAUUCAAGCUGGAUUGCAUAUCACAACCAUCAGCUGCUUUGUCUUUAUUUCACUGUUUUCAGUUCUCAUACAAGUACUAAUCUAGCAUUACUGCUUUAAAAAGAACAAACUACAGCCAUUCACGGGAUAACAUAAUUUUAAACUCUGUGAGACAGCUGAUACUAUUAAAAAACAUGGCCCUAUAAUAGGUUUUCAUUAUUGAUAGCUACUUGAGGAGACACACACUAUAAAAUAUAAAGAUGAAAAGCGAAAGGCUAUUUGCGAGCUUCAAAUCAGCGGCGUUGGAGGAAAUGAGAACAGACAAACGGCACAGCCUCUGGACUAAAUGUGUGCACAUUAUGGAGCUGCUAAGGCUUUGCCUUUACAAUAUACACUUUAAAUCAAAGCAACAUUGAAGUCAAUAUUGAUUGUUCUUCGAGAUGUGUUUUACCUUCAGGCACUGCUGUUUCCCAAAGGAGCAUGAGCAAGAACGUAUGUCUCUGUGCAGUGCUGGCUGCUUGUGGACAGGGAUCUCCCUGAAAUCCUCUGAAACCGAUUUCUCCUUUGGAAGUACCCACUGCUGCUGCUGAGGGUCCGCUGCCUGUUCUUCAGGUACUCCCGGUAGUUUUUGGUGAGCAGGGUGUAGAGGAAGGGGUUGAUGCAGCUGUUGCUGUAGGUCAGGCAGGUUGUCAGGUAAUUAAUGUUCUUCAUCACCUUGGGAGAUAGAGGGAAGGAUUCGUAAUACUGGAAGAGGAGCUGCCAUAUCCAGAAAGGCAGGAAGCAAGCCCAGAACACCAGCACGAUUGUGAAGAUUAAAUAGAGCACCUUUUGGUUUGGCAGCCGCUUGGUCUGCUUGAAGGAUGCUGUUUGUGACACCCAGUAAAUCUUAGCUAGUCGGAUGUAGAGGUAGCCAAUGAUUACCCCUGGGCCCACAAUGCUGGUGCCAAAGAGGAUGGUAAGAUAGACUUUGUAGGACAGCUUGCUCCAGGUGGGCAGGCAGAUGCUUUUGUUGUCCCUUUGCACCAGCUGGAUCAUGAUGAGCAUCGGGAGAGUGAGCAGCAGCGAUACCAGCCAGAUGACAACAGCAAUGGCCUUACGGUAGCUCUUGGACCUCUUCACUGUGUCAAGGGGCUUCAGCACAGCAAAGUAGCGCUCUGUGCUCAUGACUGUAAGGGUGAAGAUGCUGGCGUGCAUGGUGAGGAAGUCCAGACUGAACAGGAUGCGACAGCCAACAUCCCCAAAGUACCAUUUCUGGAUGAAGUAGGUCCCAACGAUGAAGGGGAUGGUGAGAAGGUAGAGGAGGUCUGCCAGGGCGAGGUUGAUGAUGUAAAUAUACAUGGAGGCAGAUGACCGCAAGUAGUGGCACAUCACCAGCAAGGUGUAGACAUUGCCGGUCACCCCAAUCACACACAUCAGGGAGAGGAUGGUCCCGAUGGUGCAGAUGGCAAUCAUGUCCUCCAUAGAACCAGCGGCUGGCACGCCGGCCCCGGUGGCGUUGGUGGAGGCAUUGGGUCUGAUUCUGAACAGGCUGCUCUCGCUGGUGUCUGUCACCAUGUAGGGGGUUGCAGAGAAGUGGCUCUCCAGCUCGUCGGUUAGGGACAUCCUCCUGGCCUUUGAAUGUCAGAGGCUUUGCUCAUGCCACAGGUUUUUGGAGAGCUGUUCUUCCUGUUCUGAGAAACGCGACUGCUGGGAGCUGGUGAACCAUUGCUCAGUGGGGUCUCAUCCAAGGAAGAUCUGCAUCGUCCACUAGAGGAAAGACAUCAGAAACCAACAGAUUAGAAUCUGGCAGAGCAACACAACCUAUUGGUCAGAAGCUACCUGUCCCUGAGUACGUCUUUACUGCCUGCACAUACCAAAGGUCUGCAUUGAGGCCACUCAUGCAAGGCUUAUGCUGUCAUUACGAGAGCACAGCUCUGAGGAGUGACAUUUUUUAGUGUGCAUGGAAAAGAGAGGAGAGAUCGUGCAGAUAUUUGGAACCACUUGCUGCAAUCUUUAAAGUUAGUUUGGGGUUGGGGAAGAAAAAUAUCCUUCCUAAAUUCAUAGUGCAAGUGCUGAUAAGCUCUUUGCUAAGCUCUUAACGUGAAGGAGUCCAAGACCCAAAAGGGAAAACAAACUUCUUAUUUACCAUUUGCAGCUAAAGGGAAUGUAUCACAGGGAAUAGAUGACAAAGUCCAGCAUUUCUGCAGUGCUUUCCCUGAACAGCUUUCCUUGAAUGAGAAGCUCCUGCUAUGUCGUGACCUGCAGUUUCCAGUUGUCGAGUGAUGGAGAAAAAAUGCAUUUUCUGUACAUAGCGCAAGCUGUAGGUUGCGCUGUGAGCUUCAGGUAUGUGUAAACAUGGUUCUUUUCAUGUGCUCUGUCAAGUGUGAGCCCACAGAUGUUUGUGUGCCCAUGCAGAGAGAUCUAUUUCAGACAGUCCUGUCUGCGAAUGUGUCUUAUGCAGCGGGCUGUGAGAUUGCUCUGCAGCGCUUUAGGCAGGUAGUCGCUCUUUGUACACGGGAGCUUUUGGUUAGCUCAAGCCCAGUGUUGUAUAAAUCAUGACUGUUGCUUUGAAUUUGUGCUGGCUUGGGGUGUAGGCAAAGGAAUAUCGAACCUGCUUCAGAAAAACACACGAAAAAGUACGUAAAACACCAGGAUUUUAAGGCAUAACGAGAAGCCUGUACCAACGUAAAGGUCACUGCACUCAGAAAUGUUUGCAGUACAUAUUUUACGCAGCUCAGGUUGUCUAUUCAUUUAGAAAAUGCUGUGAGAGCAGGUGCUGGACUGCCUUGUCCUUGCAGGGCUCCACAGGCAAAGACAUCCCUCUGCCUGUUCUGUGGGGCAGGUUGGGUUGGUUUUACUGACUCCAUUGCCAUCUUCAUCCUGCUUGCUCCUUGGCAGGACGGCAGCACCAUGCCCUGCUCCAGCUGUCCUUGGGUCAGAGACCCUGCCAGUGACCACAGUAGCACUAGAGGACAGGCAAUGUUCAUCCUCUUCAUGACUUGCCCUCAUUUUAUCUUCUUCCCAUUACCAGGUGAUGGAGAUUUCAUGCAGAAAGUCUGCAGAAAAGAGGGCAACCUAGCACAGACAGAUUUCUCCUUCCUGAAUGGUUGGGAUAGGGGUGCAAAGAAGGCAGAAAUGCUACACAAAGCCCAUUUCCCUCCCAUGUCCCUCAGGUACAGACAUCCGAGGGGGAGAGGUGACGCAUGGUCUGGCAGUGGUCAGUUCUUUGGGAGGUUGCUUCUCUUGACUGAUCUCCAUCAGCUUCACUCAGCUUUUCUGCACCCUGCAAACCCAAAUCUGCCUUCUCCCUGCCGUGCUGUGCGAUCCCUCCUGCUUGGCUUUGGGCAUGUGCAGCCAGCCCAUCCACGCACCGGCUGGCUCCCUCAUCGUCUGCCUCAUCUAUGCUCCUGUACGAGCUGUGCUGGCAGCACUAGCGUCAAUGCGUGGAGGAGACGCAGAUGCUCAGGGGCUCUGCCUGCUCCUCUGCCACACGGUCACCAGCAGGCUUGGUUGGAAGGGAAGAGCUCUGCAUGGGAUGCUCCAGCUAAGCCAAGCUCCGGUGACACGCAGCUCUUGGGUACGGUUGGAUUUGUGCUAGCUUGUUUUCAGGAGCAAGUUUCCAUGACCCAGGUGCUGGCUCUUUGCAGCUGCCUUACUUUGUGCUCUGGGCACUUGUAGCAGGUUUGUGUCGUGCCUGUGCUCAUAGGUGCAGGUCCCUGUGUGACAGCUCCUGCUAGAGAGAGCUCCCGCACCACGACUGCCUGCUCUGCUCCUUCACCAAACCUGCAUUUUGCUUCAUUCAUAAAAUCACUACAGCGCUAAUUCAAUUCAAACACUCCAGCUAUCUGCAGGCAGAGCUCAGAGCUAGGCAGGUCCUCGUUCCUAGAGGAUGAAAAUUGUACAGAUUGGGGAAACCUUGCAUCGCUUUAAAGUUAUUGGCAUUGCUGCACUCAAACAUGCAUGCAUACACACAAACACAUGCAGACACACACAAUAAAGAGCCUGCUCUUCCAAGCAGCCAUUCAAAGUGUCUUACGGUCUAAGCAAUUUUCUCAGCCAUUCCUGCCUUUUCUUCUAUGUUAUCAGCACCGAGGGGCACCGUGCACAUUCCAGUAGCAACGAACAUAAAGGAAUUCGUUCUGUUCAAACCUUGCUUUUAUAUCCAGCAGGUGAAGUUUCCUACAAGAAACAGAAUAAAAAUGCAGCUGGUACUUCUAAAGCUGAAACUUAAAAAAAAAAAA